UCUCUCACGCACUCUCUCCAUUUUUCCUCUUCUUUUCCUUUUCUUUCUUCUUUCUCUUUUCUUCUUCCUUCCUCUCCAGCAACCCGUACGCCCGACACCCCUUCUUCUUCUUCUUCUCUUCUUCUUCCUCUUCGGUCACGCCCAGCCAGUAGCCCUUCCCCUUUCUUCUUCUUCUCUUUGUCUCUUUCCCCCUCACACACACACCCAGCCCAUGAGAGACCGAUUGAGAGAGAGAGAACCGAAGUAGGCUCGGGAACCCACCGAACCCAUGAAACCAAACCGUGAGAAGGCCUGAUCCUGCAGUUGUCCGGCAGGUGGUGGUGCGGUUUUGGAGCGCGGUGGUCAAGCCACCGUCUGGGCGUGGAGACAGCAGCUAGGGCCGUGAAUUCCAGCCCUGUUCCGAUGCUGUCCUUUUGGCUGCAGGUACUCGAGUCGUAGUUGAUGGGGUUGUAGACGUGCAUUUGGGAUAUUAUGAUCGGAGCUCGCCGCGACGGUCGUAAAUGCGGGACCAGGGGCGUCCUCAAUUUUAUAGGUCUUGUUAUGGCUUGUGACGUAUGUGUCACUCGUUAUUGUAUAAAGCCAUUUCUGUUAUGUAUUUAUAUUGAGGAAAGAUUUAAACACAUAGAUGUUAAAUGGCUCUUGUUGUUAUUAAUUUGUGAUAGAUGUUUAAGAUGUGA